CCGGGAGCUGGGAGCCGCAGGAGCUCAGCGCUCCCCGACGCCGGCGCCUGUCACGUCCGACAUCCAAUCCAGAGGCAAGUCCAGUCAGCUCUGCUUCUGGAACAAGUCUGAAUCCAGCCUGUGUGCUCCAGGAUUGCCCAUGGGCACACCCUCAACACCCUGCGGUCCAGGAUGGUCCCUCCCCUCACAGCGGCAGGUGCUCUGGACAGCCUUCCUCUGCCGGCUGUUGUAACAUCUCUCUGCUGCACUCCCUUCCUGCGUCACCUCAUCCACUCAGAUGGUCUUCACCACUGGCUUCGCUCAUUGCCCACAUUUUAUACUUCCAGCCUCAUCCUCCACAGCCCUAAAUUCUAGCCCUGUCUUCCAACAAGCUAUGGUGCAUCUCUACCUGAGCUUCUCAAAGGUUUUCUUCCUUUCUCCGUAACCCUUUGAGAGGCUGGCGGAGAGCAAUACUAGAAUUGGAAAGGCGUAUGACUGGUUCCAUCGAGGAAACUGUCAGGAGCAUCAUGUGUUGCUUCUGGGCCCCGGCGGAGAAAACAUGACGUGGGCUCUCUUCCCUCUUCUCUUACUUCGUUGGCGGAGAAGGGCACCGGGUCCCCAGGGAGCAGCUUCCUCAGGCGAGAGCCCUAAGGGACUGUGUGCACCAGCACGCUCCAGCCUGUGACAAACUGGUCACACGAAUGAGAAAUCAAUUUUCUUGUGCUAAGUUACUGAGGUCUGGGGAGUAAUAAAAAGCCACAGAAAAACGGAGGCUAUCAUAAAAAUAUUGUU